CCUACGGGAGGCAGCAGUGGGGGAUAUUGGACAAUGGGGGAAACCCUGAUCCCGCGACGCCGCGUGAGUGAAGAAGUAUUUCGGUAUGUAAAGCUCUAUCAGUAGGGAAGAAAGCAAUGACGGUACAUGAGUAAGAAGCUCCGGCUAACUACGUGCCAGCAGCCGCGGUAAUACGUAGGGGGCAAGCGUUAUCCGGAAUUACUGGGUGCAAAGGGAGCGUAGACGGUAAUGCAAGUCUGGAGUGAAAGGCGGGGGCCCAACCCCCGGACUGCCCUUGACACUGUGUGACUGGAGUGCAGGAGAGGCAGGCGGAAUUCCUGGUGUAGCGGUGAAAUGCGUAGAUAUUAGGAGGAACACCAGUGGCGAAGGCGGCCUGCUGGACUGGAACUGACGUUGAGGCGCGAAAGCGUGGGGAGCAAACAGGAUUAGAUACCCGAGUAGUC
rnacentral:rRNA from 1 species